AUGAAACUGAACUGCUGCAGACUCGAAUGAGGGUGAUGGGAACUGGGACACAAGUCUGAAGAGCUGGUUUUGGUAUGCACCAGUGAGCAGCAGAAACCAAAGAGGGAUUGGUGCCGUUGGAAGAGGACUGUCUUCCACCUACCUACAGUUUACACCACUAUAUCCAUUCUCCAGCCUGGCAGCAGUAGCACAACUAAGCUUGGCUCUGGCAUGGGCAAAAAAGGGAAGACAACCUGCUUGUUUUGUUGUCAGAGCAGCAACUGCCAUAAAUAUCAUUCUGUUUUGCUUGUUCCUCAGGUGGCUCGAAGAAGAGGAGACUGGAGCACGGGCAGCGGUGGUGAUGGUGAAACAGCAUGGUGUCUUGAGCUGACCUUUAGUUCUGGGGAGAUGAGUACCAGGCUGCUCUGUACAUCUUCAAAGAUGCUGAUUAAAUCCAGUCUUUACAGCUUCAUAGAAAACCAAAUCACGUGAAUUCAACUCGGUAAUAGAGGAACAGCUGGACUGACUACCAGAGUUACAGAAGUCAUCUGGAAGCAGAAUUUUACAUGUGAACGAGUUGAAAAUUUUAAUUAGGCUUUUAAAGAUCACCAGUCUUUGUGUGGCAUAAACUUGGUAGCUUGUUCUAUCAUGCAAUUUCAAAUAUGACACCUUCAGUAUAUUAGUAAAAAAAAAAUGUAGUGUUAUUCACAUGUAUGACUUCAAGCAUGAAUUUAUUAAACUCAGCUUCACUGUCUAUCGGGUAGUCUUCUCAGCUACAGAGUGAGAAAUGGGAUACUGAACAUUUAAAAGUUAAUGUGAUCCUCUUGCUGUCAGAUUUCAACUUAGUGUCUGGAAAAGAAGUCAUGGAGAGUAGGCAAGAAGGCUCAGCACUUUGCAUAAGGCCAGAGCCAUAUGCCUUCAUUCAAAGUGACAUAAUUCUUCUAUGUGGAAUCCUGAAUCAGAGUUUUGUUCAUAUUUAGAAUACAUAUGUAUUUGUUGAUGGCAAAGCAUUACUGACAUUAAUUAAACUUCCUCAUGUAUUUUUUUUUAAAGUAGAUACAUUUAUACAGAGCUAGAUAAGGUCUUGAACCUCAUCAGGAAAGCCCCUACUUCAGUCCAGUAGUUUUCCAUUGAGUGUUAGUGAUACAAAGAUACCAUGGAUGAGGAAUAAACAUAGGUCU
ensembl:lncRNA